rnacentral:rRNA from 1 species
GACGAACCGUGCGAACGUUGUUCGGAUUCACUGGGCUUAAAGGGCGCGUAGGCGGGCGGUCAAGUCAGGGGUGAAAUCUUUCGGCUCAACCGGAAAAGUGCCUUUGAUACUGGCCGUCUCGAGGGAGGUAGGGGCAUGCGGAACUUCCGGUGGAGCGGUGAAAUGCGUAGAUAUCGGAAGGAACGCCGGUGGCGAAAGCGACGUGCUGGACCUUUUCUGACGCUGAGGCGCGAAAGCCAGGGGAGCAAACGGG